UACGUAGGGUGCGAGCGUUAAUCGGAAUUACUGGGCGUAAAGCGUGCGCAGGCGGUUUUGGUAAGACAGGCGUGAAAAUCCCCCGGGCGUCAACCUACGGGAACGUAGCGCUUGUUGACUGCCUCACUAGAGUACGGCGAGAGGGGGGUGGGAAUUCCACGUGUAGCAGUGAAAUAGCGUAGAGAUGUGGAGGAACACCGAUGGCGAAGGCAG
rnacentral:rRNA from 1 species